CACGAAUAAAGUGGGCUGGAGAGCAGUGGCUCAUCUAAAUGGGAUAGCCCUACAUAGCUAUAGAUUGUAGAUUCAGUUGAUCAAAGGAGGCUAGAUAUUUUUAUUUUUAAAAAAUGUAUAAAGUUAGUAAUUAAUUCAAAGAAAUAUUAAAAACAUAGUGCUGGCAAAUAAAACCAUCUAUGGUUUACAUUUGGCCUUUUAAUUAUAAAUUUAAUGUGCCGGUACUUAUCUAACAUGCUUUCUUUUAUUUAGGGUGUUCAAAAAGAGGAAAGAGAGAAGUACCGAAAGUUAUUGGAACGACUUAAAGAAAGUGGUCAUGGAAACUCUGUCUGUCCUGUAACUUCAAAUUAUCACAGUUCUCAAAGAAGUCAGAUGGACACACUAAAGACCAAAGGCUGGGGGGAAGAGCAAAAUCACGGAGUCAAAACAACUCAGUUUGUUCCAAAACAAUAUAGACUUGUUGAAACAAGGGGACCUCUAUGUUCAUUGAGAAGUGAAAAGAGGUGUUCAAAGGGGAAAAUUACUGAUACAGA
rnacentral:sRNA from 1 species